GUGGGUGCUGAGUGGAUGUCAGCGGUUAGCUGGGCUCUUCUUGGCAAGGAUCCCAGUCCCCAACUGAGCUGAGCCUGGAGACAGCCAGCAGAAGGGACCUGAAGCUUGUGGUAAGCUGGUGCUCUAAUUCCUUUGCAAAAGUGAUGUCUGAGAAUGGGCACGAGGCUAUUUCAUCUGGCUGAUUGUGGAAGUGGGAGAGAGACAGGGAAAUCUAUUCUUGAAAGUGGUGUACAGGUUUGAAGAUGGUGUUCUCCCAGCUGCCUUUUCAAAGCCAUCAGAAACCAUGUACAGGCGGAAAUAAAAUGAGGUGCAAUUUAUUCAGCACACCGAGGGACCUUUCCAGGACACAGAAGGCAAGGCAAAACGCUGGAUACAUGAGAAAGUGUUUUCCUGGGCUCUGAGAAACACUGAGACCUCUAAGCCUUGUUACCAAGAAUGUCUCCUGUCAUGGCCUCCCAGAAACUAAAGAGGAGCAAUUGGGAGUGUUCUCAGCAUUAAGUCUUUGUGCAGACAAGGGGAGUGGCAGGGAGAGAGGUCUCUGCCUGGACAUUUUAUUAAAUGGGCCCUGGGGGAAGCACAGAUCCACAUCAUCCCAGAUGAACCCAUGACCCUGCACAAUAGAGACCUGAGAGGCAGAUGUGUGGUGCCUUUGACUUGGAAAACUUUUCUGCCAUGGCUCCCAUUUCACCCAAGUUUGGUACCAUUUUUCAAGUUUAGUCAUCCAUUCACCUUGGAGGCCCAGACUUUUCUCAUCUCCCCUUGUAAAGGACAUGCUGGCUGGCUGGCUGCUUUCUUCUGGAGCCCUUGGUUUCUUAAACGAUAAUGAAUGAAAGAUCCAAAUCUGUCCCACACAGAUUAUAUCCGAAGAGGAACACAGUUACUCUGGCAUCUCUGUUACCAUAGGAGAGUGGAGAGACUUUGAUCCUGAAUUAAGAUCCCAGUGUUGGGCUGAGCUUGGUAAGGGGGUACUUUCUUUGGCUGCCUGUUCUGUUCCUACUGUGAUCUAAUAAGGGAAAAGACACUGGUCAGCUCUAUUGUUAUCUUUAAGUUAUUUUGAGUUUUAUUUGCAGUGUAAUAUAUAAUCAAUUUUAAAAAGUGUUCCAAGGAUAUUUGAAAAAUAUAAGUAUUCUGUUUUCUAUUAUGAAGUUCAAACUCUAUUAAAUUUGGUUUAUGAUAAUGAUCUUCAAAUCUGUUAUGUCUUUAUUUUUUAUCUAUUGAUUUUUUAAAAUGAAAGUUAAUAUUUCCCACUAUUGAUGUGGUUUUCUCAGUGUUUCUUUAUGCUUUUAAUAGAUUUUACUUCAUAAAUUCCUAAACUUUUAGAAGUAUAAAUGUCUAUGAUGGUUAUAUCCUUGUGAAUUUUGCCUCUUACGACUAUUAAAUAUCAAUCAUGAUUUUUUCUAAAUUUACAGUUGUUGAUAUUUCUGAUCAAUUUUUCUUUGAAAUAUUUUAUUUGAAAAUUAAAAGUCAACAAAAAGAAAACCACCAGCCAAAAUGAACAAAUGCCUAACAUUUUUCAUAUGUAAUUCAGAUUUUUAAAGUGAGAUAUAUUUUAUUUUUAGAGAUGUUUCAGGUUCACAGCAAAAGAGUGAAAAGUGGAAAAAUCCAGAGAUUUCCCAUAUCCCUCUUCCCCUCCCCCUAGAGUCUCCCCUGUCAUUCACAUUCCACACCAGUGGGGUACAUUUGUCACAAUCAGUGGACGAACAUUGACAUAUUCUUAAUUAAAGUCCCUAAUUUCUGUUAGGAUUUACUCUUGGUGUUGUACAUUCUAUAGGUUUGCACAAAUGUGUGAUGAUAUGAAUCCACAAUUACAGUAUCAUACAGGGUAGUUUCUCUGCCUUAAAAAUCUCUUGGGUUCUGCCAAUUCAUCCCUCUCUUAACCCUGAUUCCUGGAAACCACUGAUCUUUUUACUAUCUCCCUAGUUUUGCUUUCUUCAUAAUGGCAUAUACUUGGAAUCAUACAAUAUUUAGCCUUUUCAGAUUGUCUUCUUUCACUUAGUAAUAUGCAUCUGUUGCUUGUUCACGGUUGGACAGCAAAUUCCUCUUUAGGGCUUGUUAUGGUUUGGAUGUGAGGUGUCCCCUAAAAGCUCACGUGUGAGACUAUGCAAGAAGGUUCAGAGGAGAAAUGGGUUGUGAGAAUUUUAACCCAAUCGUGAAUUAAUCCCCAGACAGGGAUUAACUGAGUGGUAAAUGAAGUGGUGGGGUGUGUCUGGAGGAGGUGGGUAUUGGGGGCAUGGCUUUGGAGUAUAUAUUUGUAUCUGUUGAGUGGAGACCUCUCUCUCUCUCUGCUUUCUGAUCAUCCUGUGAGCUGCUUCCCUCUGCCACACUCUUCCACCACGAUGUCCCUCCUUACCCUGAGUCCCAGAGGAAUACAGUCUGCUGUCUAUGGAUUGAGCCUCUGAAAUGUCCAUUCUCAAGAUAGCAGCCAGAGAAACUUUUUUAAGGUUCAAGAAUGAUGCUGGCGUUUCUUAGCUCACGACUCUUGGAUUCCUUCUCAUUCAUCUGAGGAUGAAAUCCCACAAAGCCUUGCUUGAUUUAACCUGCACCCCAGGAGGGCAGAGAAGCUAAUGCGUCUGUGUUCUGUCUGCAUGGGUUUAAAUCCCAGCGGUGCCACUCUGUGCAAGGGGAUCACGGGUAAGAGAUAUAACCUCCCUGGGCACGCAAUUUCCUCAGUCCCGUGGGGUUGAUAAAGGUAUCUAAGGUUAUUAAGAGGGUUCCAGCAGGUGAGAUAAGAAAAGCACCUAGAUUGGUGCCUGGAAUGUGGUUAAAGCAUGAUGUUUUUACCUUUCUUACCUGAUCUCAGCCAUGUUUUCUUCAUACCGUGCUUCACCUAUGCUCUCAUUCUUUCCAUUGUCUUUCAUUCUCCAGCCUCAGGCCUCUGACAAUGCUAUUCCCUCCGUUUCUUCCCCCUUCUUUGACUACAUUCUUGUAAUCCUUAGGCCUCAAUGUCGGAGUCACAUCUCCAGGUGACCUUUCUGUUUUUCUCCCCAGACCAAUUAUGUAUUCUCUCUCUCUCUCUCUCUCUCUCUCUCUCUCCCCACCCCUCUCUCUUAUCUGUGCCCAUGGGAACUUUUAUCUUACUUCUGUGUCACUCAUCGUAGUUGUGAUUGCCUCAAAAAUGCCUGUUUUCUCAGCAAGACCCGAGCUCCUGGAGUCAGGGAUGCCAUUCCCCAUCCUCAGCUCAGGCAUGGUCCCUGGCAAGUACCUGGCAGGUGGGUGGCAAUGGAUGGCUGUAUUAACAAUGCAAUGGAGCUGUGCUUAUCUGUAACAGCGUAACAUGCGGUAACAAGACUAUCAUAAACUAUCAUGGACGCAUGGAUACAUUCCUCCUUGAGGUUCAGCACAAAGCAAAAAGUGUCCUGCCUGGAGUUACUGACAGGAAUUCCAUCUCUCCAAUAGGCUUCCCAAUGGCAGGGAGAUGGCAGCAGGGGCUAGAUUUGGUGGUGUUAGUAGGCUGUCUGUUACAGUGUCUAUUUCUUUAUGCCUACCAGAUUUUGGCAACCUCUUAAGAGUGAAUUGCACCCAAGAAAGCGAAGGACCCAAAUGGUUUCUGGAAUAGGCUGACUUCACCCCAGAGAACUGAGGUAGGAAACUUAUAAGCUGCAUUAAACACCUUGGACAUGGUAUCUGGAGUUUGGGCUCUAAGAAUAUUUCAUUUCCUACAAAGUUGUAUCUAAAAAACAACUCUGGAAUAAGGCAUCCCGUUUGUCUCAAGUUGUCCUGUUAUCUUUUCAAAGAUUCUGAUCUUCAUUUGGGAAUGGCUCUGAGUUUGGUUGGCUCCAGUUAGCACUUUACUUACUUUGUAGCUCUCUGCCUUGCAAAUUGUCAAAAAGUAAUUAAAUCCUCCAGAAAAGUGUAACACAGCAGUGUAUCCUUUGAUGAUUCAUGUAAUUGUCCCCAAAUUGAAGCUAAACUAAAGAGGAGCAGAUGGUUUUGUGUUCUCCCUUUUUCCCCUUAAACACGAUCUGACCUAUUGCAAUGCACCGGGUAAGUUUUGGGAGGAUUCAGUAGUUUAUGCUCCUAGGGAUCCUGGGCUCCAAUCAGGGACCCAGAACAUGCACCCAAGGGAAAAGAAAAACAUCCAUAACAACAACGAAAACUUGAGAACUCCAGCAACAGAAAAGCGUACGUGUGUGACAUAUGCCCUUAAUCUGGUGGGAUAAGGCAGAGGGGAUCAUCAGACCUGAGGGCAAAGGAAGAGACUGCAGGGAUGAAGGUAGGUUCCAACCAUGAUUCUAAGUAUGGAGAGGUGGCAUCCCAGGUGAGGAGAAGCGCCCUGGGGAGAGAGACAAGAGACCAAAGGCAGGAAAACCAGCAGGAGGGAGUGUCCGUGUGAGAAGGGGGUUUGUGGGGUCAACAGUGUUUAGGACUCACUCCAGCCGGCUACUCGGAUGGAAUCAGAAAUCUAAGAAUGAAGAAGACUUCUUUUUCCCAGGGCUCCUCCUUCAUUAAACAUGUACCGAACCUCUGUUUAAUUCCAGAUUCUGAAUUUGAUCAUGAGACAUCCUCCUUAUUUCAGAGGUGAGUGGGGGAAGACACAGGAUCAGAAUAGCAUACCACAAUCUGCAGCAGACUAGGAAGAAGGGGAAUAGUGGCACCUCUCAGGAAGAAGACUUCCUAGAGGCAGCGUGGUGUGGCUGAGGGACACCCAGGCCACCCAGGCACAGAAGGGUAUUUGGGGCAAAAAGAAAUAUCCCAGUGGCUUAGGAUCCUGAGUGGGUAUAA